rnacentral:SRP_RNA from 1 species
GCUGGGAGUGGUGGUGGACGCCUGUAAUCCCAGCUGCUCAGGAGGCUGAGGCAGGAGAAUUGCUUGAACCCAGGAGGUGGAGGUUGCAGUGGGCAGAGAUCAUGCCACUGCACUCCAGCCUGGGUGACAGAGCAAGAUUCUGUCUCAA